GUUUACGGCCAUACCACCCUGAACGCGCCCGAUCUCAUCUGAUCUCAGAAGCUAAGCAGGGUCGGGCCUGGUUAGUACUUGGAUGGGAGACCGCCUGGGAACAACAGGUGCUGUAGGCU
rnacentral:rRNA from 1 species